UAAUAUUAAUGUUAAUCAGAAAAAAAAAAUUUUUCACCUAUAUGGUCCUUUCGUACUAAUAUAGGUAGUUAUAUAAUUUAGGAUAGAAACCAACCUGGCUUACGCCGGUUUGAACUCAGAUCAUGUAAGAAUUUAAAGGUCGAACAGACCUAAUUAUUAAGCUACUGCACUUAAAAUUUAUCUUAAUCCAACAUCGAGGUCGCAAUCUGAUUUGUUGAUAUGAACUCUUAAAAUCAAUUACGCUGUUAUCCCUAAGGUAACUUAAUCUUAUGAUCAUAAAUUAUGGAUCAAUAAAACACUAAUUAAUGUUUUAAUAAUGGAAAGUUUAAUUAUUUUACAUGUCACCCCAACAAAACAUUAUUAAUAAAUAUGGAAAAAUUUCCCAAUAAACCAUAUAUAAUAUUUAUGUUAAGCUCUAUAGGGUCUUCUCGUCCUAAAAAAAAAUUUAAGCCUUUUAACUUAAAAGUUAAAUUCUAAUAAUUAUUAAGAGACAGUUAAUUUCUCGUCAAACCAUUCAUUCCAGCCUCAAAUUAAAAGACUAAUGAUUAUGCUACCUUUGCACGGUCAAAAUACCGCGGCUAUUUAAUAAUUCAGUGAGCAGACCGGACCUCAAAAUAUUAUCAAGAGGACAUGUUUUUGAUAAACAGGCGGAAAUUAAAUAUUUUUGCCUAAUUCCUUAUAACAAGUUUUUAUUAAAACAUAUUAUAAACCUAAAAUUAUACUAAUUAUAUCAUUAUUUUUUAAAUUUUUAAAUUAAAUUUAUAAUCUUAAUAAUAAAACUAAAAUUAUUAUAAAAUCAAAAUAUAUAAUAAUGAACUAAAACGUAAUCAUAAAAUGGCUGGUCUAAGGCCUAUUAUUAAAUUUAUUUAUUUAUAAUUAUAGAUUAUUGUUUUAGAGCUUAUCCCCUAAAAAAUAAAUUAGUCAACAUUAAUUACCUAAAUAAUUAAAUAAUAACUGUUAACUAUAAAAAAUUAAAUUUUUUCUUAAGAAACUAGAUAUCUUAGAAAACGAAUAACAUUUCAUUUCUACAAUUUACUUUAAAAUAAUUGUAAAACAUUAAAAAUAAGUAAAUUGUAAAUCAAUCUAAAUCGAGAUUAUUAAAUAAAUAAUAAAAUUUAAAUAAACCCUGAUACAAAAGGUACAAUAAAUUAAAUUUACUUUAAUUAAAAUAAAAAUUAUUUCAUAAAUCAAUUACAUUACUAAUAAACUAUAAUUAAAUUAAUUGAUUUUAUAAAAUAUACUAAAACAAAUAAAAAAUAAAAUUAUUUUUAUUAAAAAAUAAAUAAACAAGAAAUUAAUAUAAUAUAAUUAUUAA
rnacentral:rRNA from 1 species